UUCAAGCUUCCUUCUAAGUUGUAACUUGUAACCCUCGUUUCCAUCCAACCAGUCUCCUCUCCUUCCUUCAGACCUCCAAAUCUCUGGUUUUAUUUUCGAAGCGCUUCGUAGCAAAGCUCUGCUUUUUGAAUAUUUUCUACUUUCCUCUCCUAAAAAGCCUCUGCCAAUCGUAACGGAGAGAAAACUGACGGGGAGGAGUUCUGCCGUUCAGCGUCGAAGCCUUUCAUCUCUCACUUUGUUCUGCAAACCCUAAUCCACGCAUGGGACAUAUCAGAGGUAUGAGGAACUCUGGCAUACGUCCCUCAUCCACUUUUCGGUCUAGUCACAAUCCUGACAACUACAAGCAUAAGUGGGAUCAGUCGCAGCAUGAAUUGAUGCAAAUAAAAGAGGAAUUGAGAGAAAUGGAGCAGCGAUUGGAGCAAAUUGAGGAAAGACACCGCGAAACAGAGGAAAGACAGCGAAAAACGGAGGAAAGACAACGAAAAACAGAUGAAAGACAACAAAAGAUUGAGGAAAGACUACGAGUAACGGAGGAAAAACAAAAAGAAAUGGAUCGUAAGCUAGCGAUCCUAAUGGAACACUUCAAGUCUUGAUGAUUGUAUAUGUCAGGUAAUUCCAAUACAAUUGGUUCAUUUUCACCUACAUGCAUUUCAGGCUAUUAACUAUAAAUCUGCGUAAUAUUACAGCUAUUGAAGAUUGUUGUUUCUAGCCCUUACAUACCCAGCUAACAAUUUGCUAUCUGUCAGUAUGUGUAAACAAGAAUGGCUAUAAAGAAUCUGUGUUUCAUUAAUCUUUUUGUUUACUUCAUUAUUAGUUUCAGUUUACCAGUCCUGUCUUCAUUAUAAUCCACUGAAAGAAUCUGUGCUUCAUUGACCAGAAUCGUUGGGUUGAUAGAAGUUCUAUCAUAUCGGCAUAUCAUAGUUUUGGUAGAUUUCUGUAUCCCACAUAGAUUUGGCAUAUAACUGACGAGCUUCUUGGUCUCUGCUGGGUUGAUCUAUUGGAUUUUUCUCUUUUCUUUUGUUUCCUUUAUAGAUUUUUUUCACUCUAGACUUGCAUAAAAGAAAAGAUACUGUCGUGGGGGAUGAUGAUGAUGAUAAUUAAUCUCUGUAUUCCUCUCUGCUCUUAUUUCAUUCAUUGCUCAUAGGCUCUUUGGUAAGAUGAUAUUAUAUAUAUGCAAGUUUCUGGUGAAAUGAGCGACAUCUCUGCACUAUGAAGACUUGAAACAACAUCUGAUGAGCUUGCCGAUGCUGUUGAUUCCUUCAAGGUCCCCCUCAAUCUGCUGCUGGAAUUUGAGGUGGUGGUAGUCUAUAUCCUUUUGUGGAAUACAGUGUUAUGCUGAUGUGGGUUGAUGCCAAAAUGUAGUUAGGUUUUGUAAUGAGAGUGAGGGUGCUUUGGUAAGGAACUUCAUGUUUUACUGAACUUUCUAUGCAAUUAUGUUGUUUGGUUGGA